rnacentral:rRNA from 1 species
UUGACCUCGGAUCAGGUAGGGAUACCCGCUGAACUUAAGCAUAUCAAUAAGCGGAGGAAAAGAAACCAACAGGGAUUGCCCCAGUAACGGCGAGUGAAGCGGCAAGAGCUCAAAUUUGAAAGCUGACUCCUUCGGGGUCCGCAUUGUAAUUUGCAGAGGAUGCUUCGGGAGCGGUCCCCAUCUAAGUGCCCUGGAACGGGACGUCAUAGAGGGUGAGAAUCCCGUAUGGGAUGGGGUGUCCGCGCCCGUGUGAAGCUCCUUCGACGAGUCGAGUUGUUUGGGAAUGCAGCUCUAAAUGGGUGGUAAAUUUCAUCUAAAGCUAAAUAUUGGCCGGAGACCGAUAGCGCACAAGUAGAGUGAUCGAAAGAUGAAAAGCACUUUGAAAAGAGAGUUAAAAAGCACGUGAAAUUGUUGAAAGGGAAGCGCUUGCGACCAGACUCGCUCGCGGGGUUCAGCCGGCAUUCGUGCCGGUGUACUUCCCCGCGGGCGGGCCAGCGUCGGUUUGGGCGGUCGGUCAAAGGCCCUCGGAAGGUAACGCCCCCAGGGGCGUCUUAUAGCCGAGGGUGCAAUGCGACCUGCCUAGACCGAGGAACGCGCUUCGGCUCGGACGCUGGCAUAAUGGUCGUAAGCGACC